GACGAACGCUGGCGGCGUGCCUAACACAUGCAAGUCGAGCGAGUGAAUCUCCUUCGGGAGUGAAGCUAGCGGCGGACGGGUGAGUAACACGUGGGCAACCUGCCUCAUAGAGGGGAAUAGCCUUUCGAAAGGAAGAUUAAUACCGCAUAAGAUUGUAGCUUCGCAUGAAGUAGCAAUUAAAGGAGCAAUCCGCUAUGAGAUGGGCCCGCGGCGCAUUAGCUAGUUGGUGAGGUAACGGCUCACCAAGGCGACGAUGCGUAGCCGACCUGAGAGGGUGAUCGGCCACAUUGGGACUGAGAAACGGCCCAGACGCCUACGGGAGGCAGCAGUGGGGAAUAUUGCACAAUGGGGGAAACCCUGAUGCAGCAACGCCGCGUGAGUGAUGACGGCCUUCGGGUUGUAAAGCUCUGUCUUCAGGGACGAUAAUGACGGUACCUGAGGAGGAAGCCACGGCUAACUACGUGCCAGCAGCCGCCGCCG
rnacentral:rRNA from 1 species